rnacentral:tRNA from 1 species
GGGGAUGUGGCUUGGUGGCAAAGCACUUGCCUAGUAUGCAUGAGGCCUUGGGUGCUAUCCCUAGCACCACCA